GAUGAACGCUGGCGGCGUGCCUAAUACAUGCAAGUCGAGCGAACAGAUGAGGAGCUUGCUCCUCUGACGUUAGCGGCGGACGGGUGAGUAACACGUGGAUAACCUACCUAUAAGACUGGGAUAACUUCGGGAAACCGGAGCUAAUACCGGAUAAUAUAUUGAACCGCAUGGUUCAAUAGUGAAAGACGGUUUUGCUGUCACUUAUAGAUGGAUCCGCGCGGCAUUAGCUAGUUGGUAAGGUAACGGCUUACCAAGGCAACGAUGCGUAGCCGACCUGAGAGGGUGAUCGGCCGCACUGGAACUGAGACACGGUCCAGAGUACUACGGGAGGCAGCAGUAGGGAAUGUUCCGCAAUGGGCGAGAGCCUGACGGAGCAACGGCGCGCGAGUGAUGAAGGUCUUCGGAUCGGAAAACUCUGUUAUUAGGGAAGAACAAAUGUGUAAGUAACUAUGCAGGUCGUGACGGUACCGAAUCAGAAAGCAACGGCUAACUACGUG
rnacentral:rRNA from 1 species